GAUAGAGACAGAGAGACAGAGAAUCCCAAGCAGGCUCUGUGCUGCCAAUGCAGAGCCAGACGAGAGGCUCCAUCUCACGAACCAUGAAAUCAUGACCGGAGCCAAAAUCAAGAGUGGGACAAUUAACCAGCUGAGCCAGCCAGGUGUCCCAUAAUACCAUUUAUAUUGGCCUGAGAAUAACCCCUAGUCAGAGAACUUUUAGUGUAUUUAGUUGUCAACAAAAGACAAAGCAUAACAGAUUAAUGGCUACUUUUAAAUAUAAGGCCUCGGUCAUACUGUUAGAUGGACCUCUGGAAACAGAGCUACAGUUGCUACUGAAGUUCGCCAUUAUUUACUGGGUGCCUGCAUGUGCUAGGUGCUGGGAUACAAAGGUGGCCAAAGCCUCAUCACAGCCCUCAAUGAAAUCUAAUAGGUGUGUGAUGAUGGAAUGUAAUAAUCUAUGGAACCAUGGAAGAGAGAGCCAUCCCUUCUUCCAGCCGGCAUCAGGGACUCUGGGGUUGGGCUUUGAACUAUUUAUAGUAUAUGCUCAGAUUAAAAAACAACACAGCAACAACAAUAGCACAACAACAGAGAAGAGACUUCUAGGCUAAGGGUCCAUUCAUGAGCCCAGACCUGGAAGAUGCACCCUGUAAAGGUAGAAUGGCUGCAUGCAACAGGGAGAAACGGCAAGGGCUGCUUGGCAGCAGAAACAAAGGGUCUGAGUAGUAGGUGAAGGAGUACGAGAUAUCUCUAUAUUAGAUGGAUUGUCUUUGAGGGAUGCUAAGUAGAGAAUUGAAAAGAUUAUAUUGAAAUCACUAACAGGGUGGAUUGAAAGAGAGAAAACCCAGAGCAGUUAAAGUCUUAGAGUCAGUCUCAAGGUGAUGAGGGUCACAUUAAUCCGUGGUGAUGGGAAAGGAGAGGAGAAGUUAAAUUCAAGAGUCGUUUGGAAGGGAGUGCCAACAAUCCUCGGUUGCUAAUUAGAUGGGAUGUGGGUACAGAAAGAGAAAUGAGUCAGUGCAGAGUUGGAUUUCUGGCUCAGCUAUCCCUGUUAGCAAUGGUAGUGUUAACAAAAUAGUGGUUACAGAAGAUAAGCAGUUUUUCCUUGUUUCAGAUAGGCUUGUGGAUAGGGUGGAUGAACGAGGAAGAAGGUGAAGGUUUUGAUUGUAAGCACUUUGAGUUUUAAGUACUGUUAGAACAACCAAUGGGACAUUUUUGAUGUGUAAUAGCAGUUGGAAAUAUGGAUCUGAACUUCAGAGAAAUUGGGGUUGGAAAUAAAGAUUCCAUCAGCCUAUUGUAUUUAAAUUAUAUAUAAUUGUUGGAACAUCAGGGUAAAAUGAAAUUACUGGGGUUUGAGGUGAUGGUUAGGACAGCCAAGCUCAUUGCUUUGGUAUAGUAUCUUUCUGACUAAUUGGCACAUCGUAUUUAACAUAUUUGUUGAAUGCUGACUCUGUUCCAGAGUUUUACUUUCUACUCUUGGGAAUUGUAUAAUCUCUUGGUCAGUCUAUUGAGAUGUAAUCAAAUACCUACCACUCAACAGUGGGACUGGAAUACAGUGGAUUUGGAAACCAAAACAAGAUUGGAAGGCAGCUUGGUGUGAAUAUGGGAUUAGAGGUAAAAAUAGCCUCCUUUAGAGGCACCUGUGUGGCUCAGCUGGUUGAGUGUCCAACUUCAGCUUAGGUCAUGAUCUCACAGUUUGUUCGUUUGAGCCCCGUGUCGGGCUCACUGCUGUGUCAGUGGGCACCUGCUUUGGAUCUUCUGCCUCUCUCUGCCUCUUCCCGGCUUGUGCUCUUUCUCUCUCAAAAGUAAAUAAAACACUUUAAAAAAUAAUAAAAAUGGCUUCCUUUGGCCAACCAGGUGCCUUAGAAGGUUGGCCUGAGCACUCUCUGCUCAUCCCAUCCUAUAUAAUAGAAAUAGAGUAAAGUAGGGAAAUCCUGGUGUCAUAUUCAGGUACCCUGCCUUGUUUUCAUUCCAAAAGACUUCUUUUCCCAUGUAGACCUUAAACAUUUUCUGAUAGACUCAACCUUACCUUCACAGGGCCUGCUGACAAAUGCCAAAGAUCCAUCAAGUAGGGCAGCCAGAUGUUUCUGGCCUCGUUCUGGCUUAUUAGCACAGCAUUACUCAGAUUCCCAGUCUGAGUCAGAAUCCUAAGUGACUGUUCCAGGUCACAAGAUGUUUGUGUUUCCCGAAGGAUUUAAAGUGCUUGCAAAAUGGUCUGUCAUACCCACCUCCAGAAGGAAGAUUGCUCAUCUUUGAGAUUGCAGGUAAAUGGAAAAAGGAGGAGGAAAUGGCAAAUCAAUGCACAGAAUCAAAUCCAGUAUCAUCAUUUAUCAUCAGCUAGAAUUGGUCAUUGGUCCUGUUAAUUUCCCAUCAGUUACCACAUUGCCUCACUGCCCUAGUGCUAUGGCAUUCUGAUCAACCUCUCUGCCUCAACCAGGUGGGACUGUUUGUGGUCAUAGCACACACAGCCCCAUAUCCAAGGCUUCUUACCUACAUCUUUCCCCACUUAAAGUGCUUCUACCUUUUUCUCACUAAUCCAUUUGUAAUCUUUAAAAUGCUCCUCAAAAUGGUAGCGUCUUCAUAUGACUUUUUCUUCCUAAGGGUAACCACUCAAAUUGUUCACAAUUCCUCAGUGUUUCCGUAUAUGGUAACCGUCAGUUUCGUCUCUGUUUAUAUCCUGAGGCAUAAUUUCUUAAGACUUGUUUGUGAAUACCGUUAAUUUUUCCAGAGCAAUAUCUUAUAGACUAGCCUUCGGCAUCACCUAGAAAAAUUGGUGAGUUGAAUGAACUAUUCAGUUAAAUCAGUUUGAAGUUUUUUGGAUGAGGAGAAUAAUAAUGAUGAUUCAUUCACUGAAUAUUGUGGCAGACAAUGUACUAAGCAUUUUGCCAUGUCACACUAAAGAAUGAGGAGAGAUCAUCUUCAUUUUACAGAUGACAAAACAGGUUCUAAGAGGUUAAGUGAUUUGCUUGAGGUCACAUGAUUAGUAAAGAGCAGAGCCUCGAUUCACACCCCUGUCUUUGAAACUCUACAGUUCAUAAUCUUGCCAUGUUUUUAGUGUUCAUUUAAAAAAAUUUUUUUUAAAUAAUUAAAAAAAUUUUUUUUAAUGUUUAUUAAUUUUUGAGAGAGAGAGAGAGAGAGAGAGUGAACAGGGGAGGAGAAGAGAGAGAGGGAGACAGAAUCAGAAGCAAGCUCCAGGCCCUGAGCUGUCAGCACAGGGCCCAACGCGGGGCUUGAACUCACAAGCCGGGAGAUCAUGACCUGAGCUGAAGUUGGACGCUUAACCCACUGAGCCACCCAGGCGCCCCUAGUGUUCAUUUUUUAAAGGACAAAAACAGUUUCUGGUAUCGUCUGGAUCUCUUUCCAUUCCUCCUCGUAUAGGGCUGUGUACUGAACGUUGUAAUUUAAUUUUAGGUUGCAGGAACACAUGGAUGAUAGCUUCCCUCAGCAGAUGAGUGUUUUGGUAAGGAUAGGUGGGGAAGUAAAGGAAAGUAGGUCCGCCUCAGCAACUGCACAACAAGACCUCAUAGAGCAUUGAAAAAAUUCCCUCCUUAUGUCCAUUUCCUCAGAAGGGGCUUACUCAGAGUUUUAUGGAUUUUCUUUCCCUAUGAGAACAAAGCUUUCAGAUAAAACGCCCUUCAUUAGAAACCAGUUCUUUCAGGACUGCCUGAGUGGCUUAGUUGGGUGAAUGUCUGACUCUUGAUUUUGGCUCCGGUCGUGAUCCCAGGGUCGUGGGAUCAAAGCCCUGUGUCAGGCUCUGUCUUGAGCAUGGAGCCUGCUUAAGAUUCUGUCUCCGUCUGCCCCCCUUUCCCCUGCUUGAACUCUCUCUCUAAAGUAAAAAACAAAACAAAACAGUUCUUUCAUUAAUUCAACAAAUAUUUAUUGAGUGCUUACAAUAUGUCAGCCAUUCUCCAAUGCACCAGGGAAAAGUGGUGAGCAUAACAGAUACCUUUUCUCCUAAGAGGGCUUCUGUUCCAACAGUCUUAUAUUAAGUUUUGGUGAUCAUAAAUCUCAUGGGACUGAUCUCUUCCUGAUGCUUAUUCUCUAGGCUUGAAGGCUUCCUCCUUUUCAGGACUGUGCUUGAACUUAGAAGUGAGUAUAAGCCUGUGUUUUCCAAAUUUAUUGAUAGUGGACACCUGUUAGUUGCUUCUACAGCACUCAUAGUGUGUGGUCUCAGCCUUGGAAUUCUGGGGAACCUGACACUAUCUAUGGCUCCACAGAGGAACAUGUGAUCUAGGCUAAGCCAAUCAGUAUGUUAUCCCUUCCACGGUAUUGGCUUGGUAAAUAGCAGGUGACCUGAGACGGUCCAAUAAGAGCCAAUCUCAAAAAUUUUAAAGAAUACUGAUUCUCUUUAAUACUCUGGAGACUAUGAGGGCUGGAUCUGCUGCAGUCAUUUUGCAGAGAAGAGGGAAGAGUCUAAUAUACAGAUGUAAGCAGAGUCCAGAAAUAGAUCUGGAGGCCUGGGCAAACUGCAUUUUGCCUGCCCCACCUCUAGACUCUAGCCAUCAGUGAAGCCAAUAAAUAUCUCCAUGUUUUGAAACAGUUUGAAUUUAAUUUUGUUAGCUACAACUUAAAGCAUAGCAAUCGGUACUAAGAAAAGAAAAAAGAAGAAAAGAAAGGAAAAAAGAAAAAUACGCUUCUCUGUUUUUUUGUUUUUGUUUUUUUUCUGGAAGCAUUUCAUAGAACUAGAUUUUCUCAGAAUAAAAUCACAUUGGGAGAGGUGCCUGGGUGACUCAUUUGGUUAAGCGUUCAAUUUCGGCUUAGGUCAUGAUCUCAUGGUUCAUAUGUUUGAGCCACACAUUGGGCUCUGCUCUGCACUGACAGUGCAGAGCCUUCUUGGGAUUCUCUCUCUCUCCCUUUCUCUCUGCUCCUCCCCUACUCAAGUGCUCUCUCUCUCUCUCAAAGUAAAUAAAGAAACUUAAAAAAAUCACAGUGAGAAAUGCUGAUUUUGACAGUUAGAUGGCUAUAAGCCAAUGUCCCAGAGAGGACAAACUAUGCCCCCCUUUGACCAAAUAUUCUUUUUUUUUUUUAAGUUUAUUUAUUUUUGACAGAGACAGAGUGCGAGCAUGAGCUGGGGAGGGGCAGAGAGAGAGAGAGGGAGACACAGAAUCUGAAGCAGGCUCCAGGCUCUGAGCUGUCAGCACAGUGCCUGACGCAGGGCUCGAACUCACGAACUGUGAGAUCAUGACCUGGACCAAAGUCAGAUACUUAACCGACUGAGCCACCCAGGCGCCCCUUGACCAAAUAUUCUUAAGAAAUAUUUUUGUAUCUACUGCAAUGUAGUCUAAAUGCAAAGAAAUCUUCUUCACUGUUAAUCUUCGAAAACGGCAUGUGGUUAAAAUUUUUAAUACAGUUGUUCGGUCAGUAUUUAAACUAUCUUUGAGAUAUUAGUUAAGGAAAGGAAGAGAAAAAAAGAGGUCACUGUGAUUAUAGCCAAAGGAAAGAAAUAACAUGUCUCAGGAGAAAGAAAAUAUAGAAAAGAUGGAAGAAAUCAAAAGAUGUGGAUGAAAGUCAAUUUUCUAGAAAGGGAAGUUUUAACACUAACCUGGAAGAGAAAGUAUACAGUAAAAUUUCUCGAUUGUGUAAUUCAGUGUCAUGCAGGCAAAUGUGAAGAUAAUAGUUGAUAAAUCACAAGAAGAUCUCUUAAGUUUGAGUGGACAGAAAACUGAAAGACAGGCUCAAUACAGAUGAAUAUAGUUGCAACUAUAUUAAUAAAGUUGUUUCUAUAUUAUUUUAAUUAUGAUCCGAGACAAAAGGGGUAUUAAAAAGGAUUGUAAGAAUGUUCCCUAAUGAUUUGAGCCUAAUCUGACUCAAUUCAAUCUGACUGAACUGUUCUGUUCAACAUGACCAUCAUAAUGUUGUUUUUGAUCAUCUCAGGAAUGAGAACAGAAAGUAAUACCUAAGCCUUUGGCAAUGGCAUUUAUCAAAUGACGUUUGACACGUAUGUGGUGAUAGGGGACCUGAACUAUCUAAAAUUUAUAAGCUCAUUUCACUAACCUGAAAUAGCCCAUAUUAGUGGGCACUAAUUUUAAAAUCAACAUGUGAGAAACAUUACGUUCAUGGGUUGAUUGGCAUCGCUCGCAGUUGACCUAAGAUUAUCAUCUAAAGAGCUUUUGAUUCUAGAUUCAUUUGCCAAGUUACAUCAUUCCUGAAACAUCUCAAAUCAAGCAGGACAGUGUAGAAUCGCAUGCUAUUACCACAGCGUGUAGUUGGGUCCGAAUGACCCUGACUUAGUCAACCAUCAUGAUCUGAUCAUGAAUGAUGAGCUGCUCUGUGAUACUGACAAGAAUGAUCACUUACUCAUGUGACAAGCCCUUGAACAUCUGUUCCCAGUGGUUGGCCGUGGGGUGGCAGGAGGAAUGCUGUUGGAAUGAAGUUACAGGGACCCAACAGAGUGAGAUCUCUGAACCAAAGUGAGAUCACUCCUUGUUUUUUAAUUUCAAUCUUUUAUUUUAUUAUUAUUUCUUUAAUAUGAAGUUUAUUGUCAAGCCGGUUUCCAUACAACACCCAGUGCUCCUCCCAGCAGGUGCCCUCCUCAAUGCCCAUCACCCACGUUCCCCUCCCUCCCACCCCCCAUCAACCCUCAGUUUGUUCUCAGUUUUUAAGAGUCUCUUGUGGUUUGCCUCCCUCCCUCUCUAACUUUUUUUUUCCCCUUCCCCUCCCCCAUGGUCUUCUGUUAAGUAAGUCAUACAGAGAAAGACUUCUUUUUUUUUUUUUUUAAUUUUUUAAAAUGCUUAUUUAUUUUUGAGAGAGAGAGAGAGAGUGGGAAAGGGUCAGAGAGAGAGGGAGACACAGAAUCCAAAGCGGGCUCCAGGAUCGGCACUGUCAGCACAGAGCCUGACUCGUGCUCGAACUCAAGAACCACGAGAUCAUGACCUGAGCUGAAGCUGGAUGCUCAACUGACUGAGCCAGCUAGGCACCCCCAAAGUGGGAUCACUUCUAAGGUAAACAGCAGCCACAACAGCCUUGCAAGGACAUUUGGAGGAAGUAUCUCCUUGUGCACAAACCUCUCAUGGGCUAAUCACUAUGCUAAUCCAUGGCAAAAUAAUCUGUCCGUUCCUUAGAUGGUACAUGAACCUCUUACAGAUGGUAAGAGCUAUUCGUCUGAAUCUCAGAAAACAAUGAAGUCAAGUUGACUGUUCUUUCCAGUUCAGCCAUUGAAUUUUUAAGCUGUCGGGCAACUGCGUAGGUCUGAAUGGAUGACUACUCAUAAACCCCUUCCAUUGCCCUGUUGUAUGGCUUUGCUCAGGAGGGCAAGGAGAGACAAAAACGGGGAGAGAAAUAGUUGCGGUAUUUUCUUGUAUUUCUAUACAGCUUUUCGAUGCUCAGAACACGAUCCAGCAUGAUGAAUUGUUUCUGUGAAGGAGGCAGCUAGAAAGGAACAUUGUCUUCAUUCUCUAGAUAAGAGAACUGAAGGAAGAUAAUUCAGGGUAGGCUGAUUACAAUGCGGCAUGAAAAUGCAUAUCUACUGCUCCUUAUUCUAGUAUUCGAUCCACCCUGAUUGAAAUAACACAGUCAUCAAUAAUAACAACUAACACCUAUUGAAUACUUACCAUUCUUUAAAUAUAUUAUCUUAUUUAAUCCUCCCAACAACUCCACGCAAUGUAUACUAUAAUUAGCUUCGCCGCACAACUGAGGAUAACAAGUAUUGAGUCAACCCAGCUUCCUGUUUCUUAAAUAUCAUCCUGGGAAUGUUAAGUGUUUGGGGAGGUAAAUGAGCUUUUUUAUAACCACUCAGCAGUGCCUCGUUAUACUGUGUAAAAAACGGUUAGCCGCAUUUUCCCAUUAAGUUUGUAUUUUUUUCCUUCUUAUUUAUCUUCCCUUCCUGAUAGUGGAAACUUACCCACAGAAACAAAAGGAGUCUUUGAUCUUCACUACAUCUCAGCCUUUCAGGAGCCAUUUGAGCUUGAGGUCAAGAAGGAAGAGCUAAUCCUUUUGUCUUCUGACUUAGUUGGAAUAAUCAUCUCUUACUACGUAACUGAGUACCUCAAAACCUUGUGGCUUAAGGAAGAAUAAAUGUUUGUUAUUUCCGGCA